GCAACCCGUUUUUUCUAUAUACAGAAACCAAAGCUAGAAGGCUUGGAGGUAUAGUUUUCAGCAUAGCAAAUUAAGUUAGCCAUAUGGGAACUCGAGCUCCUUUUCUGCUAUGUCUCCUGGCCUUAGUUGCCUUGUGUGAUAGCACACAAGGUGCAAAACCAACCAAUUAUUCUGUUCCUUUUAACCGCACCAUUUUCCCAACUGGUUUCAUAUUUGGAGCUGGUUCAGCUGCUUACCAGUCCGAAGGAGCAGCAUUCACUGAUGGUAAAGGACUUAAUAUUUGGGAUGUUUUCACCAGGAAACAGCCAGCAAAAAUUGCGGAUUAUAGCAACGCAGAUGUGGCACAAGACUUCUAUCAUCGUUACAAGGAAGACGUACAAUUAGUGAAAAAGAUUGGUUUGGACUCCUUCAGAUUCUCCAUCUCAUGGUCCAGAUUGUUCCCAAAGGGCAAAGUAAGCGGGGGAGUGAACCCAAAAGCUGUGACUUUCUACAACAACCUCAUCAACGAGCUCCUCUCCAAUGGUAUCACACCCUUUGUGACUUUGCUCCAUUUUGAUACUCCCCAAGCACUAGAUGAGGGGUAUGGUGCAUUCUUAAGCCCCAAGAUAGUGGAGGAUUAUAUGGCUUAUGUUAAUUUUUGCUUCAAAACAUUUGGAGAUCGAGUUAAGCAUUGGAUUACGAUGAAUGAACCAAAUGGAUGGACCAUGUAUGGGUAUAGCUCUGGUACUGCUGCACCGGGGCGAUGUUCUAGCUAUGCUGGAAAUUGUACUGCUGGUAACUCAGCCACUGAACCCUACAUUGUUGCCCAUCACUUGCUUCUUGCUCAUGCAUAUGCUGUGAAGUUGUAUAGGGAGAAAUACAAGCCACAGCAAAAGGGAGAAAUUGGGAUUACAAUUGUGACCCAUUGGUUUAUACCAAAAGACCAGUCUUCUACCAGCAUAAAGGCAGCCUCCAGAGCUCUUGAUUUCAUGUUUGGUUGGACCGUCCAGAAGUCACACUUGAGGAAUGGACCUUCUUGGAAAAGAUUUUCACAACUACCAAGCUGUUUGAGAGAUCGUGGACUAAGCUCGUCACCUUGGACACUCUACAUUGGUAUUGUGACGGUCCCGAACCAACUGUGGCAGCCUGUCGCUACAACAAACAAGUUCGCAAGUAAAUGGAAGAAAGCAAGAGAAGAGCUUAUAUCAAGUAGAAAGCUGCUAAGAAAAAGCAGGAGGAGAGCUUACCUCCUAAGGCGACGGACCAGGCCAAUCCGUUUGCCAAAAGGAAGCCGUCUGAGAAGGUGGACUGUCCACAUAAGAAACCCAAAGUGGUUACGGAGCCAAUUGUUGGUGAGACUGCUGCCACCCGCAAGCUGCCCUCUAAGCUUGGAUUGAGGAAAAGGAAGGGACUGAUGAUGGGUGCUAGCUCCGUUACCGAGAAGUGCCUCGUCCUCCUCUGUAAGGACUUAGGGUAUGCGCUCAAGCAGUUGUCGUACAUCAUCUAGGAUGACGAUUAUGAAGACUUGGGCAAUCAUGCCACUGGGGCCAUGGGGGAGAUGGGCCUAUUUAGUUUGGUUCAACGGUUGUCAUGAUGAAAGAUCUCAUGGACUGAUGUACGUCCCAUGAGAUGGUGAUCACCCAUCUAAGGGAGAAGGUGGAGGCGAAGGACUCAGAGCUGAGGGAGCUAAUGGCCUGGAAGGAUGUCUAGGUUACAAGGCUUGAUUAUACAAAGCAGCUCUUGAAGGAGUCGGAGGUGCAAGUUGAGGCGCUGAAGAAGAUUCUUAAGGAUAAGGAGGCGGAGAUCUCGAAGGCAAAGUGUCACCUCCAUCUGGUAAAGAGGAUGCGAUGUGAGAGUACCGUGACUCCGAUGCCCUAUUGAAGGAGCUUGGUGGCUCCUUUGCUAACAAUUUUGAGACUGCUUCCAUCAAGUCAAAGCCUCCUUCCUUGACCUGGAUCUUUCUCUUGUUUCCAUCGACGCCUAGGCUUAGACUCCUGCCCAGCCCGUCUACUCCAAAGGAACCAAGGAGCUCUUUGCUAAUGAGACCAACCUUGACCCUCAAGGUGAUAGUGAUGGUGUUAAUGUUAACCAUGAAAAAUCUGUGGAGGACGCUACCCGUCACCUUGAAGGUGAUUAGAUCGUGGAGGAGAAGGCCGAAGAUACCCCUGCCGUCUAGUCAUAGAUUUUUCUUUUUUACUUGUAAAUUUCUAGCUUUUAACUUUUUUGAGAGAACUAUACUUAUUUUCUUUUGUUGAUCCAAGAUGUAAACAUUUGUCUUUUUGUGGGUUUUUAUUAAUUAUCUCUAUUUAUCCGUUGCU